rnacentral:rRNA from 1 species
UACAGAGGUCCCAAGCGUUGUUCGGAUUCACUGGGCGUAAAGGGUGCGUAGGUGGUGAGGUAAGUUUGAUGUGAAAGCUCCGAGCUUAACUCGGAAAUUGCAUUGAAUACUACUUUGCUAGAGGGUUGUAGGGGGGACUGGAAUUCUCGGUGUAGCAGUGAAAUGCGUAGAUAUCGAGAGGAACACCAGUGGCGAAGGCGAGUCCCUGGACAACACCUGACACUGAGGCACGAAAGCUAGGGGAGCAAACAGGAUUAGAUACCCUGGUAGUCCUAGCUGUAAACGGUGCACAUUUGCUGUGAGAGGAAUCGACCCUUCUCGUGGCGUAGCUAACGCGAUAAAUGUGCCGCCUGGGAAGUACGGUCGCAAGAUUA